CGCCAUUCUCUCUCUCCAUUUCGCAUGCGCAACUCACUUCGAUCGGUCGAAAAACACGCGGCUCCGAUGGAAACGCGGAAAAAACGGUGAAAAUCGUUUGGAAAAACGGGAAAAUGUCGUCCCGUCGGAAAAACUAGCCCUCCGGAGGGAUCGCUUACUCUUUUUCGCUCGAAAAUCCGAGUGAAAACCGGAAAAAUCUACGCUCUGCGUAGUUUUUGUCUGCCGGUUUUGAGUGGCGAAAAUACAGAUUACAAAAUACAGAAGUUUUAAUAACGAAACAUAAGGUGAACAAGAGAGUGAACAAGAGGAUGAACAAGAGAAUGAAUAAGAGAGUGAACAACAGAGUGUCAUAUCAAUCAUCAAUCAAUCAUAUAAGGUACAAAUAUAUGAUAAAUAUCUCAACAACAGAGUCCAACUUAUGGUAACCAUAGAAGAGUGAUUAAAAACGUAAACAACAGAGUCAACAAUGGAAAAAAGAACAAAGUGAACAAAAGAAUGAACAACAGAGUAAAAAACAUCUAAAUGAACAGCAACUGGAAAUAAUAAGAAGAACAAAUGGAAUACGGAGUCAAAAGCAACUAUGUGAAAAUACCCUCAAAACAUUCUCCGGCUCUGGCAGCUUGCGCUCACAGCAAUGGCAGACCAGGGCAUUGAGACGCUGACCAAUGGCCGACCAAACGGUCAUCGACAUGGAGGACACCUCGCAGCUGGA